ensembl:lncRNA
GUGAAAAGCCAUUAUACUUUAGAACUCUCAGUUCCUCCAACAGACUCUCUGUUUAGAACAGCUCUCUCAACGUCCUUUCCCCCUCUUUAAAAGCCAUCUUCUCUGGUUGCUAUGAGUGGACUUGUGAGUGGCUCAGCAUUGCCACUCACAAUCAGCCAUUGCUGAUUCUGAUUAAACCCAUUUUUGUUUUUGUUGGAGAAGUCAUUGGCAGUCGAAGGUCAACACUCCCCAUUUUGUGCUUUCCUGUCUCACGUGUUGUGGACACCUAGCGCCCUCACGGACUCUCCCAACCUAUUCAACAAGGAUCUGAAACUCAUUCACAUAUUCCCAAAGUCUGAAAUGAAAGAAGUUCGAUCAAAGGAAAGGGAGACAGAAGCACCCUGCUGCCAAGAAGCCACUUGGACAUUUUCCUCCUCUUCAGAAUGUUCCAUUCAUUCUCCCAUCCAUUUAGUAUCCGUCUAUUGAAAUGUACUGGCUACAAGGUAGAGAGUUACACAUGGAGGUGUCAUUACACAUUUGAGGUGCAAGGAUCUACUAGAUACAUUCUCUGUCUUCAAAAAUUUAAAUUUCAGUAGGGUGACACACAGAAUGCUUCCUGGCCCCUGACCCAUGGUUUGGAACAUUGGAUGGAUUAUCCUGUGUAUUUACUCCUAAAUUCCAAAGACUUGAAAAAUACUUACUACAAUAAAGCUCUUACCAUUACGAACGAAUUACAUGAACAGAAAGGAAUACAGUCAAUUCCCUUGGCAAAACAAAUAAUAAUGGCUUUAUGAGCGUCUUUUCUUUAUGAUCUCUUCUCUUAUAGACCCAGAUAUCUUGGGUUUGUAGAGCCUUCCCUCUAGAAUGUUUAAAAGAUAACAUUGCAGUAAUUGAGGAGGCAAGAGUGGCAUGAAUAUUGUGUUUUCAGGAAUUAUUUACCACAGCCUGGCUUUGAGAGCCUAUUUUGUGAAGGGAGAUAAUGUCAGUUAGGACACUAGGGAAAACUAGUGAUUGUCAAAAGUACCAUCAAAUCUUUUAUAAAAACAAAAGAGACCAAAAUCCAAAGUGGAUCCAAGUUUUGCUUUGGCUGCAGGAGCUUGUCUGCAUCUCUAAAUAAAACAAAAAUAAACUCAACAGUUGUGUAUUUCUCAA